rnacentral:rRNA from 1 species
GGGCCCGCACAAGCAGUGGAGUAUGUGGUUUAAUUCGAAGCAACGCGAAGAACCUUACCAGGGCUUGACAUCCCUCUGACUGGCUUAGAGAUAAGCCUUUUCUUCGGAACAGAGGUGACAGGUGGUGCAUGGUUGUCGUCAGCUCGUGUCGUGAGAUGUUGGGUUAAGUCCCGCAACGAGCGCAACCCCUGUUGUUAGUUGCCAUCAUUAAGUUGGGCACUCUAACGAGACUGCCGGUGACAAAUCGGAGGAAGGUGGGGACGACGUCAAAUCAUCAUGCCCCUUAUGUCCUGGGCUACACACGUACUACAAUGGCGACUACAGAGGGCAGCAACAUCGCGAGGUAGAGCAAAUCCCCAAAAGUCGCCCCAGUUCGGAUUGCAGGCUGAAACUCGCCUGCAUGAAGUCGGAAUUGCUAGUAAUGGCAGGUCAGCAUACUGCCGUGAAUACGUUCCCGGGCCUU